rnacentral:rRNA from 1 species
UACGGAGGGAGCUAGCGUUGUUCGGAAUUACUGGGCGUAAAGCGCACGUAGGCGGCUUUGUAGGUUAGAGGUGAAAGCCCGGGGCUCAACCCCGGAAUUGCCUUUAAGACUGCAUCGCUUGAAUCCGGGAGAGGUGAGUGGAAUUCCGAGUGUAGAGGUGAAAUUCGUAGAUAUUCGGAAGAACACCAGUGGCGAAGGCGGCUCACUGGACCGGUAUUGACGCUGAGGUGCGAAAGCGUGGGGAGCAAACAGG